UACGAAGGGGGCUAGCGUUGCUCGGAAUUACUGGGCGUAAAGGGCGCGUAGGCGGAUACUUAAGUUAGAGGUGAAAGCCCAGGGCUCAACCCUGGAACAGCCUUUAAUACUGGGUAUCUUGAGUUCGGGAGAGGUGAGUGGAACUCCGAGUGUAGAGGUGAAAUUCGUAGAUAUUCGGAAGAACACCAGUGGCGAAGGCGACUCACUGGCCCGAUACUGACGCUGAGGCGCGAAAGCGUGGGAGCAAACAGGAUUAGA
rnacentral:rRNA from 1 species